AAGUUUUAAAAAUCCCUCUUUUUCUAUUUGUUAUCAAGAAAUUGAGGUGAUCAUUCCAUGCAUGUUUAAUUUGUUACAUGUGAUUUAUUUUAUAUAUGAUUUGUAGAGUUAUUUAAGAUACACAGAGUUAGUAAUAAUAUAGUUUGUUUUUUUAUUUAUUGGAUUUAUGUUGUGUUUGAUCAUCAUUUUUCUUUUAGCCAUUCCACCAAUUUCCUCAGUUUUUCAUAUUUCCUUCAACAUGGUCAAAUCAUAUGAAAAAAAAUGUACUUGUAUAUAUAAUGUUAAUUAUAUUCAGAAAUGCCUUUAUAACUAACUAAAAUCAGCAUAAAAAGACUAUAUACUCUUCAUUCAACUUGUUUAUAGUUAAUUACAUUCUGUCUAAUUUAAUAAAUAUUCAAUGGUGCUUGGCAACUCUGAGGUUAUGAGUUUGAAACCUACUUGUAUCAAUAGUGUUCGUCCCCAAUCUUAAGGUGGUACCCAACACCUUCACUAAAAUUAAUUUGGCUUGUUUAAUUUUCAUUAAAUUUUGACAAAGUAUGUACUUUGACCCUUUGACAAAAAUAUAAAAUUUCAAAAAAAUUUGAACCAACCAUUUUAUCAGAAAAAUUACACUGGUUACAUAGGAGUUUGACAAACACUACUUUUGAUCACAAAGAAGCUUAAUAUUCCCUUAGCAACACAACGUAAUUAAAACGUUUAGAUGAUUUUACAGAGUUAUCUCCAUGUAGUGUUAGGUACCACCUUAAUUGACAAGGAUUGCCAGUUAUAUUGCUGAAGGUUGGAGCCUUCCUAUACCAAAACAUUUUAAUAACAAUGAUAAAGCAAAGGGUUGCUAAAGUAGUGUUAAUCACCAACAAAUAAAUUUCUAUGAAAAAUUCUAACAUCUUGCAUUUGUUAAGACUUAAGAGUCAGGUGUUGGUGUAGAUAUAUAUAAGAAGAUGUGGUAUGAGUGCCAAUCAGACAACUCUCCAUUCAAGUCACAAUUUUAUAAAGGUAAACCAUCCUAGGUCAAAGUACGGUCUUCUACACAGAGCCUUGGCUCACACCCAACAGCAAGCUAUAAAAAUGUUUAGUGUAAAACCCAUCAAAUGAGAAAACCACUUGGGUUUGGUUUGUUUAAGGAUGUUAGCUACUCUGUUUAAAAAUAACAAGCUUUUUAAAAGACUGUAAUGAAUUGAUAGUAUAGGAAUAAAGAAACUAAAAAAGCAGAAAAAAAUGGAGGGUCUGUGUGCUUGUUUUUGAGAUAUAAGCCAUUGAAAAUUUGGCCGGAAAUAAUUCUCUCUAGCGUUUUCAUACAUUUAACAUUGGCACCUUUGUUGGAUC
rnacentral:lncRNA from 1 species